GACGAACGCUGGCGGCGUGCUUAACACAUGCAAGUCGAACGAAGAGCGAUGGAAGCUUGCUUCUAUCAAUCUUAGUGGCGAACGGGUGAGUAACGCGUAAUCAACCUGCCCUUCAGAGGGGGACAACAGUUGGAAACGACUGCUAAUACCGCAUACGAUCUAAUCUCGGCAUCGAGGAUAGAUGAAAGGUGGCCUCUACAUGUAAGCUAUCACUGAAGGAGGGGAUUGCGUCUGAUUAGCUAGUUGGAGGGGUAACGGCCCACCAAGGCGAUGAUCAGUAGCCGGUCUGAGAGGAUGAACGGCCACAUUGGGACUGAGACACGGCCCAGACUCCUACGGGAGGCAGCAGUGGGGAAUCUUCCGCAAUGGACGAAGGUCUGACGGAGCAACGCCGCGUGAGUGAUGACGGCCUUCGGGUUGUAAAGCUCUGUUAAUCGGGACGAAAGGCCUUCUUGCGAACAGUUAGAAGGAUUGACGGUACCGGAAUAGAAAGCCACGGCUAACUACGUG
rnacentral:rRNA from 1 species